CCUACGGGUGGCAGCAGUGAGGAAUAUUGGUCAAUGGACGAGAGUCUGAACCAGCCAAGUAGCGUGAAGGAUGACUGCCCUAUGGGUCGUAAACUUCUUUUAUAAAGGAAUAAAACGAGGCACGUGUGCCUUUUUGCAUGUACUUUAUGAAUAAGGAUCGGCUAACUCCGUGCCAGCAGCCGCGGUAAUACGGAGGAUCCGAGCGUUAUCCGGAUUUAUUGGGUUUAAAGGGAGCGUAGAUGGGUUGUUAAGUCAGUUGUGAAAGUUUGCGGCUCAACCGUAAAAUUGCAAUUGAUACUGGCAGUAUGGAGUACAGUGGGGGUAAGCGGAUGUGGUGGGGGAGGGGUAAAAUGCU
rnacentral:rRNA from 1 species